AUAAAGUGAUAAGUGAGAUCGUCU
rnacentral:miRNA from 1 species